rnacentral:snRNA from 1 species
AUAUCAAAAUGUGAACCACACAGAGAAGAUAAACAUGGCCUAAUGUGAACCACACAGAGAAGAUAAGCAUGGCCUUUGCGUCAGAAUGGCACGCAAAUCUGGAUAGCAAGAGAGAAACACAUUUAU